GGCUGGUGGAAGGUGGUCAGUUAUCCUGAUAGUUCACAGUCAGUUACAGAUUGAACCUCUUGUUUUACUCUUUCCCCCCUUCUAACUUGACUAGACUUAA
rnacentral:sRNA from 1 species